rnacentral:rRNA from 1 species
CGGAGCCGCAGCGAAAGCGAGUCUGAAUAGGGCGUUUAGUACGUGGUCGUAGACCCGAAACCAGGUGAUCUACCCAUGUCCAGGGUGAAGUUCAGGUAACACUGAAUGGAGGCCCGAACCCACGCACGUUGAAAAGUGCGGGGAUGAGGUGUGGGUAGCGGAGAAAUUCCAAUCGAACCUGGAGAUAGCUGGUUCUCCCCGAAAUAGCUUUAGGGCUAGCCUUAAGUGUAAGAGUCUUGGAGGUAGAGCACUGAUUGAACUAGGGGUCCUCAUCGGAUUACCGAAUUCAGUCAAACUCCGAAUGCCAAUGACUUAUCCUUAGGAGUCAGACUGCGAGUGAUAAGAUCCGUAGUCAAGAGGGAAACAGCCCAGAUCGCCAGCUAAGGUCCCAAAGUGUGUAUUAAGUGGAAAAGGAUGUGGAGUUGCUUAGACAACUAGGAUGUUGGCUUAGAAGCAGCCACCAUUUAAAGAGUGCGUAAUAGCUCACUAGUCGAGUGACUCUGCGCCGAAAAUGUACCGGGGCUAAAUACACCACCGAAGCUGCGAAUUGAUACCAAUGGUAUCAGUGGUAGGGGAGCGUUCUAAGUGCAGUGAAGUCAGACCGGAAGGACUGGUGGAGCGCUUAGAAGUGAGAAUGCCGGUAUGAGUAGCGAAAGACGGGUGAGAAUCCCGUCCACCGAAUGCCUAAGGUUUCCUGAGGAAGGCUCGUCCGCUCAGGGUUAGUCAGGACCUAAGCCGAGGCCGACAGGCGUAGGCGAUGGACAACAGGUUGAUAUUCCUGUACCACCUCUUUAUCGUUUGAGCAAUGGAGGGACGCAGAAGGAUAGAAGAAGCGUGCGAUUGGUUGUGCACGUCCAAGCAGUUAGGCUGAUAAGUAGGCAAAUCCGCUUAUCGUGAAGGCUGAGCUGUGAUGGGGAAGCUCCUUAUGGAGCGAAGUCUUUGAUUCCCCGCUGCCAAGAAAAGCUUCUAGCGAGAUAAAAGGUGCCUGUACCGCAAACCGACACAGGUAGGCGAGGAGAGAAUCCUAAGGUGUGCGAGAGAACUCUGGUUAAGGAACUCGGCAAAAUGACCCCGUAACUUCGGGAGAAGGGGUGCUUUCUUAACGGAAAGCCGCAGUGAAUAGGCCCAAGCGACUGUUUAGCAAAAACACAGGUCUCUGCGAAGCCGUAAGGCGAAGUAUAGGGGCUGACACCUGCCCGGUGCUGGAAGGUUAAGGAGAGGGGUUAGCGUAAGCGAAGCUCUGAACUGAAGCCCCAGUAAACGGCGGCCGUAACUAUAACGGUCCUAAGGUAGCGAAAUUCCUUGUCGGGUAAGUUCCGACCCGCACGAAAGGUGUAACGAUUUGGGCACUGUCUCAACCAGAGACUCGGUGAAAUUAUAGUACCUGUGAAGAUGCAGGUUACCCGCGACAGGACGGAAAGACCCCGUGGAGCUUUACUGUAGCCUGAUAUUGAAUUUUGGUACAGUUUGUACAGGAUAGGCGGGAGCCAUUGAAACCGGAGCGCUAGCUUCGGUGGAGGCGCUGGUGGGAUACCGCCCUGACUGUAUUGAAAUUCUAACCUACGGGUCUUAUCGACCCGGGAGACAGUGUCAGGUGGGCAGUUUGACUGGGGCGGUCGCCUCCUAAAGUGUAACGGAGGCGCCCAAAGGUUCCCUCAGAAUGGUUGGAAAUCAUUCGUAGAGUGCAAAGGCAUAAGGGAGCUUGACUGCGAGACCUACAAGUCGAGCAGGGACGAAAGUCGGGCUUAGUGAUCCGGUGGUUCCGCAUGGAAGGGCCAUCGCUCAACGGAUAAAAGCUACCCCGGGGAUAACAGGCUUAUCUCCCCCAAGAGUCCACAUCGACGGGGAGGUUUGGCACCUCGAUGUCGGCUCAUCGCAUCCUGGGGCUGUAGUCGGUCCCAAGGGUUGGGCUGUUCGCCCAUUAAAGCGGUACGCGAGCUGGGUUCAGAACGUCGUGAGACAGUUCGGUCCCUAUCCGUCGUGGGCGUAGGAAAUUUGAGAGGAGCUGUCCUUAGUACGAGAGGACCGGGAUGGACGCACCGCUGGUGUACCAGUUGUUCUGCCAAGGGCAUAGCUGGGUAGCUAUGUGCGGAAGGGAUAAGUGCUGAAAGCAUCUAAGCAUGAAGCCCCCCUCAAGAUGAGAUUUCCCAUAGCGUAAGCUAGUAAGAUCCCUGAAAGAUGAUCAGGUUGAUAGGUUCGAGGUGGAAGCAUGGUGACAUGUGGAGCUGACGAAUACUAAUAGAUCGAGGACUUAACCAUAUAA